rnacentral:sRNA from 1 species
GCCUCCCCGAUCGCGACGCGCAGGGCGCGC